AGCUUUGCGCAGUGGCAGUAUCGUAGCCAAUGAGGUUUAUCCGAGGCGCGAUUAUUGCUAAUUGAAAACUUUUCCCAAAGCCAGCAGUGUGGUAUUGUAAGCCUAACCUUCUCAGAUGCUCUUGCCCAUUCCUUAUGCAUGAACCACAGGUU
ensembl:snRNA LOC120102775 U4 spliceosomal RNA